rnacentral:rRNA from 1 species
UGAGGAAUAUUGGACAAUGGGUUAGCGCCUGAUCCAGCCAUCCCGCGUGAAGGACGACGGCCCUAUGGGUUGUAAACUUCUUUUGUAUAGGGAUAAACCUACUCUCGUGAGAGUAGCUGAAGGUACUAUACGAAUAAGCACCGGCUAACUCCGUGCCAGCAGCCGCGGUAAUACGGAGGGUGCAAGCGUUAUCCGGAUUUAUUGGGUUUAAAGGGUCCGUAGGCGGAUCUGUAAGUCAGUGGUGAAAUCUCAUAGCUUAACUAUGAAACUGCCAUUGAUACUGCAGGUCUUGAGUAAAUUUGAAGUGGCUGGAAUAAGUAGUGUAGCGGUGAAAUGCAUAGAUAUUACUUAGAACACCAAUUGCGAAGGCAGGUCACUAAGAUUUAAACUGACGCUGAUGGACGAAAGCGUGGGG